CUCAGGACGAACGCUGGCGGCGUGCCUAAUACAUGCAAGUCGAGCGGACAGAUGGGAGCUUGCUCCCUGAUGUUAGCGGCGGACGGGUGAGUAACACGUGGGUAACCUGCCUGUAAGACUGGGAUAACUCCGGGAAACCGGGGCUAAUACCGGAUGCUUGUUUGAACCGCAUGGUUCAAACAUAAAAGGUGGCUUCGGCUACCACUUACAGAUGGACCCGCGGCGCAUUAGCUAGUUGGUGAGGUAACGGCUCACCAAGGCAACGAUGCGUAGCCGACCUGAGAGGGUGAUCGGCCACACUGGGACUGAGACACGGCCCAGACUCCUACGGGAGGCAGCAGUAGGGAAUCUUCCGCAAUGGACGAAAGUCUGACGGAGCAACGCCGCGUGAGUGAUGAAGGUUUUCGGAUCGUAAAGCUCUGUUGUUAGGGAAGAACAAGUACCGUUCGAAUAGGGCGGUACCUUGACGGUACCUAACCAGAAAGCCACGGCUAACUACGUGCCAGCAGCCGCGGUAAUACGUAGGUGGCAAGCGUUGUCCGGAAUUAUUGGGCGUAAAGGGCUCGCAGGCGGUUUCUUAAGUCUGAUGUGAAAGCCCCCGGCUCAACCGGGGAGGGUCAUUGGAAACUGGGGAACUUGAGUGCAGAAGAGGAGAGUGGAAUUCCACGUGUAGCGGUGAAAUGCGUAGAGAUGUGGAGGAACACCAGUGGCGAAGGCGACUCUCUGGUCUGUAACUGACGCUGAGGAGCGAAAGCGUGGGGAGCGAACAGGAUUAGAUACCCUGGUAGUCCACGCCGUAAACGAUGAGUGCUAAGUGUUAGGGGGUUUCCGCCCCUUAGUGCUGCAGCUAACGCAUUAAGCACUCCGCCUGGGGGAGUACGGUCGCAAGACUGAAACUCAAAGGAAUUGACGGGGGCCCGCACAGCGGUGGAGCAUGUGGUUUAAUUUCGAGCAACGCGGAAGAACCUUACCAGGUCUUGACA
rnacentral:rRNA from 1 species